UACAGAGGGAGCAAGCGUUGUUCGGAAUUACUGGGCGUAAAGGGCGCGUAGGCGGUUCGAUAAGUCCCGUGUGAAAUCCCUCGGCUCAACUGAGGAAUGGCACGGGAAACUGACGGGCUUGAGUUCGGGAGAGGGAAGCGGAAUUCCGGGUGUAGCGGUGAAAUGCGUAGAUAUCUGGAGGAACACCGGUGGCGAAGGCGGCAUCCUGGACCGACACUGACACUGAGGAGCGAAAGCCAGGGGAGCAAACGGG
rnacentral:rRNA from 1 species